CGCCUCCCUCCGCCGCCACUACACGACGUACCGUACGGGACGGACGAGCGAGGUAGGGAAGUCGUUCGCACAAUAGGACGAAAGUCGUGAUGCAGCAACGCCGCGGUGGGGAGUGAAGUCUUUCGGAGUGUAACCCUUCGACCCGGAAGAAUGCCGCAGGUUGACGGUACGGGUAUAAGAAGCCCGGCUAACUACGUGCCAGCAGCCGCGGUAAUA
rnacentral:rRNA from 1 species